rnacentral:rRNA from 1 species
GACGAACGCUGGCGGCGUGCUUAACACAUGCAAGUCGAACGGAAAGGCCCUGCUUGCAGGGUACUCGAGUGGCGAACGGGUGAGUAACACGUGGGUGAUCUGCCCUGCACUUCGGGAUAAGCCUGGGAAACUGGGUCUAAUACCGGAUAGGAGCCAUUUUUAGUGUGAUGGUUGGAAAGUUUUUUCGGUGUAGGAUGAGCUCGCGGCCUAUCAGCUUGUUGGUGGGGUAAUGGCCUACCAAGGCGGCGACGGGUAGCCGGCCGGAGAGGGUGGACGGCCACAUUGGGACUGAGAUACGGCCCAGACUCCUACGGGAGGCAGCAGUGGGGAAUAUUGCACAAUGGGCGCAAGCCUGAUGCAGCGACGCCGCGGGGGGGAUGACGGCCUUCGGGUUGUAAACUCCUUUCGCUAGGGACGAAGCUUUUUGUGACGGUACCUAGAUAAGAAGCACCGGCUAACUACGUG